UACUGAGCUAGGUUGGGGAAUUAGCAGUUCCCUGUUGCAUGAAAUCUGCUUUAGCAUGAACCGAAGUCCGUGAGGCGGCUCAGUAAAGGGGCAUGGUCCUGUUUCCAACUAUGACCUUCUGUCCCCUAAGAUUGUUGGUGUGAGCCAACCCCGUGAGGCCUGGAAGGGAGCAACGGUAACUCAUUCUAUCAAUGCUUAAGGAAAACGGAAGUAAGGCGGUUAUUAGGGUUAAAGCUGUGUUUCUUUAUUGUUUCCACUUGCGGGCCUGCUCACUC
rnacentral:SRP_RNA from 1 species